rnacentral:rRNA from 1 species
ACGGCGAGUGAAGCGGUAAAAGCUCAAAUUUGAAAUCUGGUACUUUCAGUGCCCGAGUUGUAAUUUGUAGAAUUUGUCUUUGAUUAGGUCCUUGUCUAUGUUCCUUGGAACAGGACGUCAUAGAGGGUGAGAAUCCCGUUUGGCGAGGAUACCUUUUCUCUGUAAGACUUUUUCGAAGAGUCGAGUUGUUUGGGAAUGCAGCUCAAAGUGGGUGGUAAAUUCCAUCUAAAGCUAAAUAUUGGCGAGAGACCGAUAGCGAACAAGUACAGUGAUGGAAAGAUGAAAAGAACUUUGAAAAGAGAGUGAAAAAGUACGUGAAAUUGUUGAAAGGGAAGGGCAUUUGAUCAGACAUGGUGUUUUUUGCAUGCACUCGCCUCUCGUGGGCUUGGGCCUCUCAAAAAUUUCACUGGGCCAACAUCAAUUCUGGCAGCAGGAUAAAUCAUUAAGAAUGUAGCUACUUCGGUAGUGUUAUAGCUUUUUGGAAUACUGUUAGCCGGGAUUGAGGACUGCGCUUCGGCAAGGAUGUUGGCAUAAUGGUUAAAUGCCGCCCGUCUUGAAACACGGACCA